rnacentral:rRNA from 1 species
UACGUAGGGUGCAAGCGUUGUCCGGAAUUAUUGGGCGUAAAGAGCUCGUAGGCGGUCUGUCGCGUCUGCUGUGAAAACUCAGGGCUUAACCCUGAGCUUGCAGUGGGUACGGGCAGACUAGAGUGUGGUAGGGGAGACUGGAAUUCCUGGUGUAGCGGUGAAAUGCGCAGAUAUCAGGAGGAACACCGAUGGCGAAGGCAGGUCUCUGGGCAUUAACUGACGCUGAGGAGCGAAAGCAUGGGGAGCGAACAGG